GAUGAACGCUGGCGGCGUGCCUAAUACAUGCAAGUCGAGCGAACAGACGAGGAGCUUGCUCCUCUGACGUUAGCGGCGGACGGGUGAGUAACACGUGGAUAACCUACCUAUAAGACUGGGAUAACUUCGGGAAACCGGAGCUAAUACCGGAUAAUAUAUUGAACCGCAUGGUUCAAUAGUGAAAGACGGUUUUGCUGUCACUUAUAGAUGGAUCCGCGCCGCAUUAGCUAGUUGGUAAGGUAACGGCUUACCAAGGCAACGAUGCGUAGCCGACCUGAGCGGGUGGACGGCCACACGGGAACUGAGACACGGUACAGACUCCUACGGGAGGCAGCAGUAGGGAAUCUUCCGCAAUGGGCGAAAGCCUGACGGAGCAACGCCGCGUGAGUGAUGAAGCUCUUCGGAUCGUAAAACUCUGUUAUUAGGGAAGAACAAAUGUGUAAGUAACUAUGCACGUCUUGACGGUACCUAAUCAGAAAGCCACGGCUAACUACGUG
rnacentral:rRNA from 1 species